GUGGGGAAUAUUGGACAAUGGGGGGAACCCUGAUCCAGCCAUGCCGCGUGUGUGAAGAAGGCCUUUUGGUUGUAAAGCACUUUAAGCGAGGAGGAGGCUACCGAGAUUAAUACUCUUGGAUAGUGGACGUUACUCGCAGAAUAAGCACCGGCUAACUCUGUGCCAGCAGCCGCGGUAAUACAGAGGGUGCGAGCGUUAAUCGGAUUUACUGGGCGUAAAGCGCGCGUAGGUGGUUAAUUAAGUCAAAUGUGAAAUCCCCGAGCUUAACUUGGGAAUUGCAUUCGAUACUGGUUAGCUAGAGUAUGGGAGAGGAUGGUAGAAUUCCAGGUGUAGCGGUGAAAUGCGUAGAGAUCUGGAGGAAUACCGAUGGCGAAGGCAGCCAUCUGGCCUAAUACUGACACUGAGGUGCGAAAGCAUGGGGAGCAAACAGGAUUAGAAACCCCGGUAGUCC
rnacentral:rRNA from 1 species